rnacentral:lncRNA from 1 species
AACUAAUCCGAAAUUUGGUCAUGAGAUAAGUAAAACCUGACUAAGAAUUGUCGAUCAACCUUAACUUUAACACAUUAAACACUUAUACCCAAUUACUUGAGAUUGUAGCAUUUAGUGGCAAUGUUGAUACAUGUAUACCUCUGCAUGGCAAUAACUUCACAUUGUUGUAAACUAUAAAGUUAGUGACAAAACCGUUGUAGAUGUAUACAAGAAAUGAAAAUUACAUUCAAAUUUUUUUAGACCAGAGACGAAAAAGUGAAAACUAAAAAUUCCAGACAUCAAACAUUUUGUUCAGUUCUCGUGAAUUUGUAUCUCAAACAGAAUUUGUACAUGUAGCUCAAUGUGUGCUUGAUAUCCUUAUAUUGUUGUAUAGUAAGUGAGCGACAGAAAAGUUAAUACAAAAAUAAGUAUACAACAAUGGAAGUGAUGUUGAAAGUUGACAUACAAAGGGGGUAGGAUUGAAGAUUGGAUAAAUUACAAAGUACUGUUUCUUGUACUUUCUACCAACAAUAGGGUGUGGAUACUCAGAAUCUGCCUAAAUUCAUUUGGUCCUACUUCUACCACAUCAAUCCAAGUAUCUAUUCCCUACAACUUUCUCGACUUGAUGAUAACUAGUUUAAUUUAUUCAAAUCUACUUGCCUAUAAAAUUGUUUUCUUCUUUUUCUUUUCAUUUCACAUCCCUUGAAAUGAACAAUGUUUUUAGCGGAAAGGAAUUCUUGUGAAGUAGCAUGUCUCUAUAUUGUACACUUAUAAAGGAAAUGGAAAAAAAAGGGAGCGUAGCUGUUGUCACUUCCUGUUUAAUUUAUCUCAACUUGUAUAGAUGGAAGAAAAUUUCCAAAUAAGUUUCCUUAUUGAUUAUGGACUCUAUCUGCCGGGUAUAGUCUAAAAUUUUCACUAAAAUCCGUCUCAGAUGUGACUGCUUGAUAGGAGCUAUCUUAGUUUGGCAACAAGAUUAUUUGGUUGAGACUUGAGAGAGUUACAUCUGACCAAUGGUCUUUUCAAUCCUCCUGUUCCUUUUCACCAACUCUAAUGCGACCUUUCAGGUAUUAUUUGCAAGCACAACAGUUUUUUGUUUUUUGUUUUACUAUACUAUUGGUAUGAAGUAAUUCUCGUUAGAAAUAAUGACUAAUUUUCAUCACAGACCAUGAGCACAUACAAGGUGAGUAUUCUCCUCUCAACAAGAUUUAUUUCAUAUUCAAGGAUCAACCAAAAUUAAACCCUAAAUCAUUUGCUUAAGGGAUACAAAUUGCUACCACUUAUGCUAAUCAUUGUUGAUUCAUGCACAACAGUUUUAAACAUGUUCUGAACGGGAAUUUCAGCUAUGAUAAUAAGAGGAAUAAAGUUUAGUGGUUGUUUGACUUUCAAAGGAAAUUGAAUUUCUUCGACACCACUCUAAAGUAGUUCUAACAACUGAUCUCAUGAAAACACAGAAAAUAUAGAUUUCAGUUUCUAGUUGAAUCAGACAAUGUAGCAACACCUAAUCAAACAAACCAACAAUGUUCUUUCAUCCCUCUAUAUAUAGCUUACAACUUAGCCAAUUGAAUACACAAAACAGAACAAACGCAACAGUUUCAUUAUCGAACAUCUCAUAGAAUUUCUAAUUUGUCUAUCCAUUAGCAUGUUUUCAGCAAAAGAGAAAAAUGGGCGUUGACCAUCUUUCUUCUCUUAUAUCUCAACCAUUCUUUCUUUUCUCAUUGAAUAUAUUUUGUCUUCAUCAACUUGCACUAGCUGGCACUAUCAGGCACUAUCAUUUUGAUGUACUUACUCUUUUAAGAGAAUCAGUUCCUCUAUUCUCUUGCAAUUUCAUCAAAACCAUAUUCACAUCACAGACAUAAAUAUAAAUAGAUUGCAUUCUACACUUACUCUCUUCUACCCCCUUUUUUUUAUCUAAGGUACUGGGUUACAGAUGCAGAUAAAGUACCAAAAUGAGACUAAUGACUAAUGAGAAUCACAUAACAUUGACUUAUAACAUACCAUGGUACAAAGUACUAAUCUUAAGUUGAUACGUCACUACUAAUUACUAUUUUCAGGAUAAUGAUGGAAUUCUGAUAACACAAGCCUUCCAAAUGUCUCUGAUUCCUACACUAUUGAUGUACUACCAGGGUCAUUCUUAUAACAUGUUACCUAAAAAUGCCACACACCAGUUGUGUGGAUAAAAUUGUGGAGAAAGAACUUAAACUCACCAGUACUUUAAGAAACAAGCAUAGAUGACUCGAAUUUUUAAUAAGAGAAGUGCUAGUAAUACAUUUUCUAAUACACUUUCAACUUAUCUGUUGAAAAAAUUGUGUUGCUAGUGUUUCUCUUUUAAACGAAAUUAACACUUCUUUUAUCUGCAAGUUUUGUCUUAAUCAAACAGAAACUAUAUCAACUAAAACGAGAUAUUUCUAAAUUUAAUAUAGAAGAUUGGACUAUGGCAGAUACAUUCAAGCUUGGGAAGAGAUACCUUCUCUGUUUGAUCAAUGUUGCACUCAAUGAUGAACUCUUAUUCAGCAUUGCAAAUCACAGCCCUCAGUCGUUGAAGCAGAUCCCAUUUAUGCCAAACCAUUUGAGACCAACACUAUUCUUAUAGCUCCUGGACAAACCACUAAUGUUCUUCUCAGAACCAUAUCUCAUAACCCAAUGCAACAUUCUUUAUGGCUGCUAGGCCAUAUGUGACAACUCCACUGUUACCGGUAUCUUGGAAUAUGAAAUUCCGUCACGCUUUCUUCACAAAACAACUUCCAUGAACAACCUUUCACUCUUUAAGCCUUAAUGACCUCCCUGCUCUUAAUGACACUUCAUUUGCAAUUGCAACAACCUUCACCCACAAGCUCCAUAGCCUUGCAACUUCACAGUUUCCUUGUAAUGUCCCCCAAAAAGUUAAUAAGCACUUUUUCUUCACCGUUGGUCUUGGAACGAGUCUCUGUCGAUCCGCAUAAUCAAACUUGCCAGGGACCUAAUGGAGCCAUGUGUCUAUCACACUCCCAACCACAACACUUCUUCAAGCCCAUUUUUUUGGGAAAUCCAAUGGAAUUUACUCACUUGAUUUUCCAAUUAACCCUUUAAUGUCAUUCGACUACACAGGCACCCCACCAAACAACACCAUGGUGACCAAUGGGACAAAGUUGGAGGUUCUUCCUUUCAACACAAGUGUAGAGCUUGUUAUGCAGGACACCAACAUUCUUGGUGCCGAAAGUCACCCUCUCAAUUUGCAUGGGUUCAACUUCUCUAUGGGUUGGCUAAGGUUUUGGUAACAUCGAUCCAUAUAAGGAUCCUGCAAACUUCAAUCUUGUUGGCCCAAUUGAAAGGAACACAGUGGGAAGUACCUUCUUGUGGCUGGGUCGCCAUUCGUUUCUUAGCAGAUAACCUAGGUUAGUGUCCCUUGUUUCUUGCUUUGCACAAAAC